rnacentral:rRNA from 1 species
UACGGAGGGAACUAGCGUUGUUCGGAUUUACUGGGCGUAAAGGGCGCGUAGGCGGUUUAUUAAGUUAGAAGUGAAAGCCCGGGGCUUAACCCCGGAACUGCUUCUAAAACUGAUAAGCUAGAGUGUGGGAGAGGAUAAUGGAAUUCCUAGUGUAGAGGUGAAAUUCUUAGAUAUUGGGAAGAACACCGGUGGCGAAGGCGGCUCACUGGCUCAUAUCUGACGCUCAGGCGCGACAGCGUGGGGAUCAAACAGG